GAUGAACGCUGGCGGCGUGCCUAAUACAUGCAAGUCGAGCGAACAGACGAGGAGCUUGCUCCUCUGACGUUAGCGGCGGACGGGUGAGUAACACGUGGAUAACCUACCUAUAAGACUGGGAUAACUUCGGGAAACCGGAGCUAAUACCGGAUAAUAUAUUGAACCGCAUGGUUCAAUAGUGAAAGACGGUUUUGCUGUCACUUAUAGAUGGAUCCGCGCCGCAUUAGCUAGUUGGUAAGGUAACGGCUUACCAAGGCAACGAUGCGUAGCCGACCUGAGAGGUGGAUGGGGAACAAGGGAAAAGAGAAAAGGUAAAGAUGACAACGGGAGGAAGCAGUGGGGAAUAGGGGAAAAGGGGCGAAAGAUGGACAAAGAAAGGUAGCGGGGGUGAAGAAGGGUUUAGGAUCGUAAAACCUGGUUAUUGGGGAAGAACGAAAGGAAGAGAAGCAAGGGCGGGCGGGAAGGGAAUAAAAAAGAAAGAAAAGGACAAUUUGGGG
rnacentral:rRNA from 1 species